rnacentral:rRNA from 1 species
AUGGUGGCAUGGGGGAGCUUCCAAGCGAAAGCUCUGUGCUUUGUCGCCGGUGACGGCGACGCUCACGGGCGUCGUUAUCUUCUUGAAGAUGUCGUCGUGGUGCUCCUCUCCGUGCGUGGGUUCCGGGUGAAAACCCUUGUCCAUGUGGACUCAACCGCGGCGACACCUGGCGUCGUUCCCCCUCCUGAGGGCAUUGUCGUAGAGCUUAGGUGUUCUAGGGCGUUGUGUGGCGGUGUUCUCAUGCCUUCUUGUGAUAUCUUUCGGUCUCAUAGUCUCUUGUGGUCUGCGUUCCCCGAUUAUCUUGGGAUCGGCUUUGUAAAAGGGUCACCUCACCAUCUUGUAUCGUUCGGCCAUGUACUCAUUGUGGUUGUUGCUUUAUUUACAAAGCGGCCUGUUUCGAGGGAAGAGGCAAACUGGUAG